rfam:Equus caballus chromosome 4, whole genome shotgun sequence.
CUGCGUGGGCGGAGCACCGCCGACCCAGAAGCCCCGCCGUAUCUCGGGCCAGGGCGCUGUGCUCCACCUGCGGCAAACAGUUAACUGCUGCCCGACAGUGUUCACACAGUCCAUGUGCCAUCCCGCGAGCCCGUCCCAGGCCCACAGCCUAGAAUCCAACCCCGCGCAGAGGACACCCACGGGAA